AUGGCGACGCACCACCCGGCCUCCCCGACCGGCGCCGGCGCCGGCGGCAAGUCCCCCUCCUCCUCGCCCUCGCCGCCGCCGGCCGUGCGCCUGGCGGCGUCGCAGGCGGCGGCGGUGGCGGCGAUCCAGCCCAGCUCGCCGCGCUACUUCUUCUCCUCCCUCGCCGCCUCCUCCUCGCCGCACCGCCGCAUCGCCAUCGCCGUCGACCUGUCCGACGAGUCCGCCUUCGCCGUCAAGUGGGCCGUGCAGAACUACCUGCGCCCGGGCGACGCCGUCGUGCUCCUCCACGUGCGCCCCACCUCCGUGCUCUACGGCGCCGACUGGGGCUCCAUCCCCGUCACCGUCGACGACGGCGACGAGAAGGGGGGAGGAGGCGCGGCGCCGGCGUCCGGGGACCCGGAGGAGGACGCGCGCAAGAAGCGGGAGGAGGACUUCGACGCCUUCACCUCCACCAAGUCGCAGGACCUGGCGCAGCCGCUCGUCGCCGCGCAGAUUCCCUUCAAGAUCCACAUCGUCAAGGACCACGACAUGAAGGAGCGCCUCUGCCUCGAGGCCGAGCGCCUCGGCCUCUCCGCCAUGAUCAUGGGCAGCCGCGGCUUCGGCGCCUCCCGCAGGGCAGGUAAUGGCAGGCUAGGGAGUGUCAGCGACUACUGCGUGCACCACUGCGUCUGCCCCGUGGUGGUUGUCAGAUACCCUGAUGACGCCGGAGCGUCGGGCGGUGCCGAGUCUGUGGGGGAUGAGCUAAGGACGGUGCCUGAGAACGAGGUGGUGUUCCAUGAGGCACCAGAGGGGCAGAAAGAAAACUGA
rnacentral:rRNA from 1 species